rnacentral:rRNA from 1 species
AUCGACAACACACGAUAAAUUUCACUUCAAUUUUAAUUUAUAUACCACCAUCUCAAGAAUUAAUCUAAAAAUAUUCUCAUAAAAUUCAAUAAAAAGUUAGGUCAAGGUAUAAUUUACAUUGAAGAAUAAGAUGAAUUACAUUAAAUAAAAUUAAAGAUUACAAAUAAAAUAUUUAUAUAAAUAAGAAUUUAAAAGUAAUAUUGAAAUAAUAAUAAAAUAUGACAAAUACAAUAAAUGUGCACACAUCGCCC